UUAUAGGUGAGUUUGGUGAUGGCUCUGAUUGAACGCUGUCCAAAUGCUUGACACAUGCUAAUCGUACGUUUAAUUUAUGCUUUUCGGAUAUUAGAUAUCUAGGCACCAUGAAAAAAUAUUUAGUAAUGGUGUAAUAUCUUUUGUUUAUUCUUCCAUAUUCCAAACUAAGUUUGGAAUAAGGCAGGCUGGCAGAGAUAUUGAAGGUGAAUUAAAAGUGGUGUACAGGUGAGUGAAAGAUAUUCGGCCGACCUUAAAGAGAGGGGAAAAAUCCCUCAUAAAAUAAAAAAAAGGGUGUAAUAACCGCUUUAAGAGGAAAGGUAUCUGCGAGAUAGGUAGUAGUUAAGGUAAUGGCUUAACUAGCCAACAAUUCUCGGAGUCGAAGCUGAAAUGGUUGAUCGACCACAUUGGGGAUGAAAAAAUCCCAAGGCAUAUAUGUACAGCAGUGAGGAAUCUUGGUCAAUGGCCUAACGGCUGAACUGGCAACUUGGAUGAAUGGACCGGCUACCCCCUUAAGAAAGAGGUAAGAGGUAGUGCAGGAGAUCCUUUUAAGGAGUAAAGUUCUAAAUAUAUGAUUGAUAAUGACAGUCUAUAUAUUAUGUCUUGACCAAUUACGUGCCAGCAGUCGCGGCAAUACGUAUGAGACUAGUGUUAUUCAUCUUAAAUAGGUUUAAAGGGUACCUAGACGGCAAAUGUCACCUUUAAAAGGUUAUUAUUUCGCUAGAGUUUUAUGUGAAGAGGCCGUACUUAUGAGUGGAGAGUUAAAAUUCUGUGAUACCUGGGGGACGGAUAAAGGCGAAGGCAGCCUCUUAUGUACAAACUGACGUUGAAGGACGAAGGCAUUGCGGCACGAACAGGAUUAGGGACCCUAGUAGUCUUUGCAGACAAUGAUGAAUGCCAUAGGUUAGGUUAUUACUUAGUCUAUAAAUGAAAGUGUAAGCAUUUCACCUCAAGAGUAAUGCGGCAACGCAGGAACUGAAAUCACUAGACCGUUUCUGACACCAGUAGUGAAGUAUGUUGUUUAAUUCGAUGAUCCACGAAAAAUCUUACCACAAUUUGAAUAGAAUAAAAUAAUUAAUACUUACGAAGUACGCUUCUAAUCCCUCUGACUACGAGGGCUUCGCCUCCUGAUCCCGAACUUCGUUCGGGAUAUGGCUAAGGCUCCGCCUCAGCAAGCUCGGGAUAAGUUUUAGUAUAUUUAUUCAUACAAGUGUUGCACGGCUGUUUCCAGUUAAUGUUGUGAAACUGUGGUAAAAGCCAUGGAAUUAACGUAAACCUGAGCUUUAUUUGUAAAUAUAUUAUGAUAGGGCUAAAUCGUCCUGUAUAUGGGAUUUGAUAACAGGGACUAAGACAAGUCAUCAUGGCCUUAAUAUUGUGGGCUAAAGACGUGCCACAUAUUCCUAAACAAAGAGAUGCGAAAAUGCGAAUUUUAGCUAAUCUCAAAAAAUAGGAUAAAAAAGAUAUGGAUUGUAGCCUGAAAUUCGGCUGCAUGAAUAAGAAAUUGCUAGUAAUCGUGAAUCACUAUGUCACGGUGAAUAUAACCUUGGAUUGGUACUAACCACUCGUCACAUGCUGAAAGGAGUACGUGCAAUAAGUUUGCUCUCUUAUUUUAAUCCAGCGAAUAAUAGGAUUCGGGUUUUUUUAUAGGAUUCUUCGUAUGCGCGAUUCUAAUUGGUGUUAAGUCGAAAUACGGUUCGGGUAGUGGAAGUUGCCCGGGGAUGAUUAACCUU
rnacentral:ncRNA from 1 species